UGGAAGAUGUCUUCUAAACUCUGAAGGCAAGCACUCGGCCAACACUUUUGUUUCUGUAGAAGGCAUGUCGUUUGAUUCAUGCCAAGAAGCGUACAAACAGUAUAAGCUAUUCGCUUGGGAGAAUGGUUUUGGAAUUAAUCAUGGAAAGCAGAGAUGAGGGCAUGCAUGUUACAAAAUUGUGUACUGGUCCUAGGUCAGUUAUAUAGCGUCUUGCUUGAAAUUGUAGUACAACUAUAUUCUUCUCGUUUCCCCAUCCACUCCAUGAUGGUCUUGCACUUGAAUUUUUUUCAUGCUUUGAAAUUGCUUGGUAUUUAUAUUGUAGAUAGUAGGAUGCCAUUGUCUUGUUUGGUUCUUUGUGUGCAGGUUAAGAGGGACAAAGGUAAUUCUUCUUCGUGCAAAACAGAAUGAAGGCGACGAUGCAUCUCCUCCAUGCAAAGCAAGUUGGUAUGUGAGCAUAUUCUAGAACCCGCAAAAUCACACACUAUCUGCAAUUUGUGAAGAGAAGAGGUAGUGGAACUCACACAGUGAGAUCAAUCCAGUUCUUAUGAAAAAAUUUCAUCAAGAGUCUCAAAGUAAAUAAUUUCAGCCUCAACAAGGUGUACAAUAUUCUCACCGCAAUGCAUAGCGAUUAGACGGGAGCAACAUUCCGUAAGCAAAACUUAAGGGAUAAAAAUUAAUGGCUUCGGAUGAUGUUUUACAAAUUCCUCAACCCCUACCGUCUCGAUCCCGUCCACGCUCUGAUCCGGAGGACGAUGCAGCUCUGGCCGAUCGACAAUGGAGGUUUGGGAUCCUUCCUCUCAGCACCCACUACGGGAAGAAUGAGCAGCGCGCCAUGCCGAUCGAACCCGGUUGAGAUCACUCGCCAAGAUUGUUAUUCUAAACUUUUGUGUAAACAAAGUGAAGAGUGGGACAGGAUCUGCACUUGUGUUAAUAUAACAUAUACUUGUGUAAGUGCAGGUUUUGUUUUAAAAAUCCAAUAUGUUGAUCCUUUUUGUCGCUGAAAAUUGUUGCAGGUGCAGGUGUUGCUUGAUCCUAUCCACCCGUCUCAGCUUCUGAGGAUCCGAUCGGAGUUAAGUUCUUAGACCCUUAUUCGUGUUUCAUCUUCUUUUGGUUUUCUUUGGUCCGUGGCAGCAGCGGCAUCCAUGGAUGGUGAUGAGCUCGAUCACUUCGAUAGCUACAAGUUGUGGAAGGCACUAUGGUGGCUUGAAUCAUGCCAUGAAGCAGAAGAUGAGUAUGAACUGAGUUGCGCAAGAACCUGAUGGUCGUGGGGCUGGAGUUUUUCUUUGCUCCCAUCUUUGUUGCCCUGGCCUUACCACCCACACUCAUAUCAUUCUCAUUUUGCUUACUGUUUGUUUUUGGGAACAUCAGGUUACAUCUACAUCUCGUUCUACUUCUAUACUUGUUUACCUGUUUACUUGAUACAUAAUUUCACAUGGGUAAACUUAUAAUAUUUAGUCCGGUUUAGAUGAUGAAAUCAGCUGGAGUAUAGACGGGGCUUGUACAAAUUUUUUAGGAGAAGACUACCCCAAUUGUGGCAUUGGUCGUAAUUAAUCUGGUGUUCUUCAGGUGAGUGACAUUAUUUCAUUUCGGGAAGCACGAGCUGGAAUCUGCUUAUUCCGUCUGGUAUAAUCAAUGUUUUCUAAUUAAACAGAAGUUUUAUGUGAUAACCUUCCAGAAUAGAGUGCCAUGCAAAGAUGACUUUUCUUUUACUUCUCAAGGAGAAUACGCAGAUUAACUUUCCAUGAGUAGUCUUCUAUUGUUAACUAAACUUAUUUAGUUCUCAUGCACGUGGAUAAUAUUAGAACUUCGAAGUGAUCAAAUUAUAUGCUUUCGUAUGCAAGAUUGUAAACUAACCAUUGCAUACACAUCUUAGCUCCAGAUUUUCAGUUUGUGCUUGUCUAAUGAAAAAUCAAUUCCCUUUGGAUUUGGGAGCAGUAUAUGCCAAGUUUCUGUACGUGCCAGAGUCAAUAUUUCCUUUAAGGCGAGUUUAAAAGUUCAAUUUUAGGGAUUAGCUUUUUGGUGACAGUUCUCUGUUGUAUACUCCGAACUGCGUCGAUAUAUUGGUCUGAAUCUUUUGUUAACCUACUUUACUUUCGGAAUCGGCUCUCAUAGGAAUUCUCAUCUUGACCAAGUUUAGUAACAUAGUUCGUGCAAUUUGAUUACAUAAAAUUAUAUGAGAAAUCUUCAUGAAAGAAUACAUUUUCAGUCAUUUGACAUACAAGGCCCAAUCAUUAUCUAAUUAUUUCUAGGGUUUUAAUACUUGGUUUUACUUUUGGAUAUAUCUAUUUGCUAAAACGACACAUAAAGUGAGAAAUAUUUUAAGCUGGACAAAUGUGCAUUGCAUCU